UGCCCAGCAACUCCUAUCCCUACCUCCUCGCGGUACCGGCCGGAAACUAUGAGCAACCUUAGGGAAGAUCGGAUAACCAACCCCGGUGGGAACUUUGGUCAUAGGCUGACAGGGAAGG
rfam:Aedes albopictus isolate Foshan contig142929, whole genome shotgun sequence.